ACAGCAGCAGCCGCGGUAAUACGAAGGGUGCAAGCGUUACUCGGAAUUACUGGGCGUAAAGCGUGCGUAGGUGGUGGUUUAAGUCCGUUGUGAAAGCCCUGGGCUCAACCUGGGAAUUGCAGUGGAUACUGGGUCACUAGAGUGUGGUAGAGGAUAGUGGAAUUUCCGGUGUAGCAGUGAAACGCGUAGAGAUCGGAAGGAACAUCUGUGGCGAAGGCGACUAUCUGGGCCAACACUGACACUGAGGCACGAAAGCGUGGAGCAAACAGGAUUAGAUACCCCGGUAGUCCCUGUCUCUUAUACAC
rnacentral:rRNA from 1 species